GAAGCCCUAAUAAAUCCUCGGAUAAGAUCAUUAGUCUAUCAUGGAUAGAAUUAUCACUCAAUGAUUGGUCUAUUAUUUUAGUUCUAACUUUGAACAAUACUUAGCUCCAAUGAAAUCUCCAUGCGAUGACUACCAACCACUGACUUCAAAAGCAAAAGGAGAAGAAGAAGAGGGCCAUAGCCAUGGUUAGUGGUUUAGAGCAUAUGCUCAGAAGAUCCCCUAAGCUACAACUUCUUAAUCAUAUCCUUCUCCUUCCUUCAUUUAAACCUUAAAAAUGGCCUAACUAACAUCUCCUACCACUCCUUUUCCUCCAUUUUUGCUCAGGUGAUCGGCGAUGAAGAUCGGCGAUGGCUAUAAGGAUAGCAAAGGCCAUGGCAGCCGCGCCGCCAUUGGAAGGUUUGGUAAGAGAGAUUUGUUUGUUCAUCAGUUUUGGGCAACUGAACAUCCUUUGGCACACUGCAUAUGUUCAUGGAGAGCUACACGUUUCCACCUUGUUCAACUAAAUUUUGAUGUAUGUAAACCAUGAACAUCUGUGUUCUUCCUUUUAUCUUAUCUUUGUAUGAGGAAACAGGAUAAUACAUUUAUUCCGCUCUUCAAGGAUUUAUGAUCGGGUUUGAAUUGGGUGUGAGUUUGUGAUUUGAAUUGUAAUUGAGUUUGGAUUGUGCUUGUUUUCUGGCGUAACAAAUGAUCUAGCUUAGGAAAGUGAUACCGCCUGUGGUAAGUCACAUAGACAUCGAGUCAUAGCGCGAGAACCAGCAAACCUCUUUAUUAUGUUUCCACUCUUCAGCUACUUCGCUACACUUUAGGACGACAAAAUUCGGGAUAGUCCUUCGAAAUCUAGGGCGACCAAGAGUAACGCCCUAAUCAAGUGGAAAAUGUGUGGAAUUGUCAAGGAUUUCGUAAGUGCUAAGUCGUAUAGACAUCAAGGAAUAGCGCGCGAACCAG
rnacentral:lncRNA from 1 species